rnacentral:misc_RNA from 1 species
GAUGAGAACGUAGCGAAAUGCGAUAAGUAGUGUGAAUUGCAGAAUUCAGUGAAUCAUCGAAUCUUUGAACGCACAUUGCGCCCCUUGGUAUUCCAUGGGGCAUGCCUGUUCGAGCGUCAUUUGUACCUUCAAGCCUUGCUUGGUGUUGGGUGUUUGUCUCGCCUCUGCGCGCAGACUCGCCUCAAAACAAUUGGCAGCCGGCGUAUUGAUUUCGGAGCGCAGUACAUCUCGCGCUUUGCACUCAGAACGACGACGUCCAAAAGUACAUUUUUACACUCUUGACCUCGGAUCAGGUAGGGAUACCCGCUGAACUUAAGCAUAUCAAUAAGCGGAGGA